UACGUAGGGGCGAGCGUUGUCCGGAUUUAUUGGGCGUAAAGAGCGUGUAGGCGGCCAGGUAGGUCUGCUGUGAAAACUCGAGGCUCAACCUCGAGACGUCGGCGGAAACCAUCUGGCUAGAGUCCGGAAGAGGAGAGUGGAAUUCCUGGUGUAGCGGUGAAAUGCGCAGAUAUCAGGAGGAACACCAAUGGCGAAGGCAGAUCUCUGGGCCGUAACUGACGCUGAGGAGCGAAAGCGUGGGGAGCGAACAGG
rnacentral:rRNA from 1 species